UCCGGCUUAUCACCGGCAGUUUCCUUAGAGUGCCCGACAUUACUCGCUGGUAACUAAGGAUAAGGGUUGCGCUCGUUGCGGGACUUAACCCAACAUCUCACGACACGAGCUGACGACAGCCAUGCAACAUCUGUAAUAGUCCGGCCGAACCGACUCCCUAGUUUCUUAGGGAUACGACUACUAUGUCAAGGCCUGGUAAGGUUUUUCGCGUAGCAUCGAAUUAAACCACAUGUUCCACCGCUUGUGCGGGUCCCCGUCAAUUCCUUUGAGUUUUAAUCUUGCGACCGUACUUCCCAGGCGGAGUGCUUAACGCGUUAGCUACGACACCAAAGAUAAACUCUGAUAUCUAGCACUCAUCGUUUAUGGCGUGGACUAC
rnacentral:misc_RNA from 1 species